rnacentral:rRNA from 1 species
UACAUGGGGUGCAAACGUUGCUCGGAAUUAUUGGGCGUAAAGCGCACGUAGGCGGUUCGUUAAGUCGGAUGUGAAAGCCCUCGGCUCAACUGAGGAAGUGCACCCGAAACUGGCGAGCUUGAGUACGAAAGAGGAUCGCGGAAUUCCCGGUGUAGAGGUGAAAUUCGUAGAUAUCGGGAGGAACACCAGUGGCGAAGGCGGCUCACUGGCCCGGUACUGACGCUGAGGUGCGAAAGCGUGGGGAGCAAACAGG